rnacentral:rRNA from 1 species
GACGAACGCUGGCGGCGUGCCUAAUACAUGCAAGUAGAACGCAGUUUCGAACGGGGGAGUAACGCGUAGGUAUAUGCACGCUAGCGGGGGGUAACUAUUGGAGACGCUAGCUAAAAUCGCAUACUACCAGAUGGACCGGCGUUGUAUUAGCUAGUUGGUGAGGUAACGGCUCACCAAGGAAACGAAACAUAGCCGGCCCUGGGAGGUGAUCGGCCACAAUGGGACUGAGACACGGCCCAGACUCCUACGGGAGGCAGCAGUAGGGAAUCCUCCGCAAAGGGGGGAACCCUGACCCGGGAACGCCGCGUGAGUGAAGAAAGUUUUCGGAUCGUAAAGCUUUGUUGUUAAGGAAGCGGUACUUAACCAGAAAGGGACGGCUAACUACGUGCCAGCAGCCGCGGUAAUUC